AAAAAAGCAUAUGAGGAAAUUGAAAAAAGUGGUCAAAGUCUAGAAGGAACAACAACGUACGAAAUUCAAUUUGACAGGCCCAAAAUGAAAUAGAGAAGUGUGAAGAGGGCCUGGGGGCAGAUGCUCAAAUAUCCGCUCUUUUGCGGGAAGCUAUUCAGGAAGAGCGCGUUAUUAUACUCAUCUCGGCGGCUUUCAUAUUUAUAUUAGAAUAUAUGGAGUGAGAAGAAGAAAAAAGUUGGAAUUAACUAGUA
ensembl:ncRNA F11D5.16 ncRNA